UACGUAGGGUGCAAGCGUUGUCCGGAAUUACUGGGCGUAAAGCGUGUUCAGGCGGCUCGGCAAGUCGGGCAUGAAAUCUCUCGGCUCAACCGGGAGGGGUUGUCCGAUACUGUCGGGCUUGAGGGCAGUAGAGGGUGGUGGAAUUCCGGGUGUAGUGGUGAAAUGCGUAGAUAUCCGGAGGAACACCAGUGGCGAAAGCGGCCACCUGGACUGUACCUGACGCUCAAACACGAAAGCUAGGGGAGCGAACGGG
rnacentral:rRNA from 1 species